UGCAACCUACCUAUCAGGAGGGGAAUAACCCGGCGAAAGUCGGACUAAUACCGCAUAAAACAGGGGCACCGCAUGGUGAUAUUUGUUAAAGAAAUUCGCUGAUAGAUGGGCAUGCGUUCCAUUAGGUAGUUGGUGGGGUAACGGCUCACCGAAGCCGACGAUGGGACUAGGGGAACUGAGAGGUUGGUCCCCCCACACUGGUACUGAGACACGGACCAGACUCCUACGGGGAGGCAGCAGUGAGGAAUAUUGGUCAAUGGGCGAGAGCCUGAACCAGCCAAGUCGCGUGAAGGAAGAAGGAUCUAUGGUUCGUAAACUUCUUUUGCAGGGGAAUAAAGUGCGGGACGUGUCCUGUUUUGUAUGUACCCUGAGAAUAAGGAUCGGCUAACUCCGUGCCAGCAGCCGC
rnacentral:rRNA from 1 species